GCAUGCUGCUGAUGCCCAUACAUGGAAACGUGUCUCCAAGAUGGGAGUCUUUAGGGGAGAUCACAAAAAGGCGAGAGCCCGCUGUUUCCUCAGACGUGUAAACACAGGUGAAGUCUUCCACACAGGUCAGAGGAGAGCUUGGAGGCAUGAAAUCUUUUUUCAGAUCGCCUCCUGCCCCGGCCCUCAUCCCGCCGAGGCAAUUCGCUGCUUGGUUUCUCCUCCGCUUAUCUUGAAGGCACUUCAGACUUACGCUGUCCGUAAGUAAAUGCGAGGUCUCUCCAAGCCUGCACUGCCGGCCAGUGAGUCUUCCUGAGGCUCCAGAUCCAGGCACGAGGAUGAGCUUCCUGGCCAUGGUCUACGGCCACGGUGUACUGCAUCACCACAGGCCCAAAACAACAGAGCCAAUUCAUCGUGGGUGAAAACCUUCCAAACUGUGAACCCAAACAAACCUGGAUUGUUUUGAAAAUUCUCUGUGUUCAACUGAGUGGUUUUCCUGUCCUUGCUUCUCCAAGAACACCAAAUCGUAGAGAGAAAUGGCUUUCAGCUCUCUGUGGCUUCGUGAGGCAGAGAGGAAGGGGAGUUGCCCGCCCAAGCCCUCCAGGGGAGAGUGAUGCUGACUGCGCCCCCGCUUGAGGGUUUCACUGAGUUACUAAAUUACCCAGGCUGGACUUGAGCUUGGGCUCCUCCUCCCUUGGACUCCCACAGGCACGCGUCUCCAAGUCCUGCCCAGCUGCCACAGGAAGGACGGAUGACUGGCCUGUACGUGGCACAGCAAGCAAGGUCACGAAGGAAAGGCACUUCAGACCCAAAGCCCGCUGAGGACUAGGGUGCCUCGGGGGCAGCUGGCAGCCCAGCACUGACCCGGCUCAGCUCAGAGGCCCUGCGUCUCGCUCCAGGAUGACCCCCUGAAGGCCAGCUGAUCCCCACAGAAGCCAUUGUUCUCGCCCACCAGCGUCCCCAAGACAACAGGCAGAGAGGGCUUUGAGGGAGCCUCUUCCUGGCUCAGGGCAGGAGGCUGUGCAGAGGAGAAGGCCGAGAGCCUCACGGGGGAGUCAGGAUUUCCCGGGGCGAGCAACAAACCCUCAGGGCUUCCACACUCCCACUCCUCAGGAAAUCCGGCCCCACAAGCAACAACACAAAACCCUUGAAAAAAGGCAGUAUUCAAGUCACAGGUCUAUUUUUAGUCUGCACGAGCUGACUUGUGCUUAUGUGACUGUCCCACUGUCUACCUGUGAGCAUUGCAACACUUCCUGUGUGUAAGGCAUCCUGCGUUUUGUGGCUGGGGAGCUGGGGGGGGGGGGGCUCUUAGCGGGGGUCAGACCUUGGCUGUAGGCGGCCCGGGCACAAGGGGCCAGGCUGGACAACUGCCGAGGGAAACUGGCGACCGUCCCCGUGGGCUGUAAGCUCACAGCGCUUUUGGGUUUUCCACCUCUCAGUAGGUCAGCUCUUUCUCCUGCACAGCUACACGCUGUUCACUGGGUUAUUCACAUACUUUUUUUCUGGAGCAUUGAAUACGUGCUGUGUGUCAGCUUCUCUUUGCCAGGUGGGGUCUCAGAAAGACCUAAGAGUGAAAGCACAAAGAAAGAAAAUGGCCCUAACAUGACAGUGCCCCAGGGCAUCAUGGGAAGCGGGGCCCUGUGGGAGCAGAGCAGUGGGAGGGCCUGGCCUUGCUCAUCAGGGACACCUGAACUGUGUUCAAGGAUGAGGUCUCCAAAGCCAGGCCCCUGGAGUGUUAGCAGUUCAGCCUAGGAAAGCGGGGUCACCAAGGACGAGGACCACCUGGACAGAUUCUCUGCAUGUAUGUCUAUCACCAGGUCCUUUCUGAGAGUCCCAAGAAAAAAGUAAAACUGCCUGUUCAAAGGCUGAGUGUGCGUCUCCUCCAGCCCAAGCGGCCGUGGCGGAGGCCUCCCGAGGGGUGCUGCAGGCACAGCCACCAGCAGAGGGGGCCUCAGGCUUGGCCAAGGGGCGGAGAAGGACCUUUGGAGAGAGAGAGGGCCCAGCACAGGGGACAGAGUUACCGGGAAACUGUUUGGCUUGAUCGCUACUUGCUGAGGAUGAAGUCACAGCCAGUGGGAAAUGCCCAGUGAUUAACAGAGGUUACAAAACCAGAGGAAGAAGGCCCAGGCUGGGAACAAGCUGGGGGCCAGGGAGCUCCGCUUGUCCUUAGAGCCGCACCUCAGGCAGCACCAAGGCCUGAGGAGUUCACACUGGCCUGCAGGGCCUGGCCUAGAUCCAGGCCCAGACCCUCCCAUCACACGGGGUGUUCACUGCUAACCCUGAGGGAGACUUUGCACACUGAGGAAAACAGUGUGGGGCCCCGGGGGCCACCAGCAGGGGACGGUGACUUCCCGACUCAUGGAUGACUCCAUCUGGGAAGUCAGAAGCUGGAGCCCCUCGCCACUGCCAAGGGGCCAUGAGGACAGUUCCGAGGUCUCCUCCGGUCACAGAGCCUUCCAACGACUGUGACAGGGCAGCCUGUGGAGACUGCGUGUCUCUGUGGACCCAGCUGCCGUGGUCUGUGCGGGUGGGGAGCCAGUGGCCUUGAUGACCCUGGGGUCUAGGGACAAUGCCCCGAGGGACGGUAGGACAAGGCCCUGCUGUGACAGACGACCAGUCAGUAGGGUGCCUGCCCUCCCCCUUUCACACAGAAAAAGCAGCCCCUUAUCACGUAAGCCCUGCCCCCUCGGAACCCUGCCGCGGCCCCUUGCGGCUCUACGCCGGCUGGGUGCUGCUCGGGAGGGCUGGCUGUGCAGGAGGAAGGCAUCCGUCGGAGGAGCCCAGGAUUUGUGACCCUGCCUCCUGGAGCAGGCUGGCGGAGGCGCUGCAGACCAUGGGCAGAGCUGCUCCGGGGCGCCCAGGACAAGCCACCCGGGCAGCGCAGUGGCCCUGGGGCGCAGUGCCCGCUUCCGACGCCAGCCCCCGGCUGCCCCACUGGCAUCCACCCAGCUCCGGUCGCCGCGCAGCCCUGGAGCA